AGAAUGAACGCUGGCGGCGUGCCUUACACAUGCAAGUCGAGCGAGGCGGCCCGCAAGGGUCAGUCGAGCGGCGAACGGGUGAGUAACGCGUGGAUGACCUGCCCUGAGAUGGGGAAUAACCCGGGGAAACUCGGGCUAAUACCGCAUGAGACCGAGAGGUGAAAGGCGGCUCGCAAGAGCUGUCGUCUCGAGGAGGGGUCCGCGUCCGAUUAGCUAGUUGGUAGGGUAAUGGCCUACCAAGGCGACGAUCGGUAGCCGGCCUGAGAGGGUGAGUCGGACCACGACUGGAACUGAGACACGGUCCAGACUACCGUACGGGAGGCGAGCGAGUGGG
rnacentral:rRNA from 1 species